rnacentral:rRNA from 1 species
GACGAACGCUGGCGGCGUGCUUAACACAUGCAAGUCGAACGGAAAGGCCUCUUUCGGGGGGUACUCGAGUGGCGAACGGGUGAGUAACACGUGAGUAACCUGCCCUUGACUUUGGGAUAACUUCAGGAAACUGGGGCUAAUACCGGAUAGGAGCUCCUGCUGCAUGGUGGGGGUUGGAAAGUUUCGGCGGUUGGGGAUGGACUCGCGGCUUAUCAGCUUGUUGGUGGGGUAGUGGCUUACCAAGGCUUUGACGGGUAGCCGGCCUGAGAGGGUGACCGGCCACAUUGGGACUGAGAUACGGCCCAGACUCCUAUGGGAGGCAGCAGUGGGGAAUAUUGCACAAUGGGUGGAAGCCUGAUGCAGCAACGCCGUGUGCGGGAUGACGGCCUUCGGGUUGUAAACCGCUUUCGCUCAUGACGAAGCUUUGUGUGACGGUAGUGGGUAAAGAAGCACCGGCUAACUACGUG